ensembl:lncRNA
UGUCUGAAGCUUUGGAACUAUGAGAAUUAGUCAUGCUAAUUACAUCUGUUCUCAGCAUUCAAGAUCUUCUGACGUCGUGGCAAGUGAUAAGUCCGAGGGCUGCCGUAGAGUCAACCAAGCAUUAAAAGUCAUGGGAAGCUCUAAAGCCUCUCUUAUGAUAUAUGCUUCCGUGAAAUGAUUUUGCAAGAAAUGUUGAGCACUUAAGGAUGCCACAGAACCCAAUUCCAAAAUAACUGGUGCAGAAUUCAACAUUUUGAUAAGUAACCACAUCUCUUUCAUUUUGAAGAGAAUCUAAGUUUAUCUUAAACCUAGGGGAAAGUGUGUAAUUUGCUCUAGAAUCUUUUGAUUUGUUGAGUCUAUUUUUGUGUAUACUACUGUGAUGGUUAAUUUCAUGUGUUAACUAGAUUGGGCUGAGGCAUGCCCACAUAUCUGGUAAAAUAUUAUUUCUGUGUGCUUCUGUGAGAAGGAUCAGUCCUCACAAAUGUGGGCAGGUAUCCUCCAAUCCACUAAGGACCAGAGUAGAGCAAAAAGGCAGAGGAAGGGCAAAUUCUCUCUCUCUCUUUGUGAGCUGGAAUAGCUAUCUUUUGUCCACAGACGUUGGAGCUCUUGAUUCUCAGGCCAUCGGCACUGAAUUAUACCACAGGAUUACCUUAUUCUCCAGCUUGCAUAGAGCAAACAGUGGGACUUCUUGGCCUUUCUAAUCACAUGAGCCAAUUCCAAUAAUUAUAUAUCUCUUUAUUUAUAUAUUUCUAUAUGUCCUAUUUGUUCCACUUUUCUAGAGAAUCCAACUAUCCUUAGGUAGUUUCUGAGAAUCAAGUUUAAUGCUAUUGAUUGGUUUGAAAAGACAGUUUUAUAGAUACUUGUCUUUUUCUUCUUCUUCUUCUUUUUGAGACAGAGUCUGGUUCUGUUGCCAGCCUGGAGUGCAGUGUCACAAUCUCAGCUCACUGCAGCCUCCGCCUCCUGGGUUCAAGUGAUUCUCCUGUCUCAGUCUCCCAAGUAGCUGGGACUACAGGCGCGUGCACCACCACGUGCAGCUAAUUUUUGUAUUUUUAGUAGAGAUGAAGUUUUACCAUGUUGGCCAGGAUGGUCUUGAUCUCUUGACCUCGUGAUCCACCUGCCUGAACCUCUCAAAGGGCUGGGAUUACAGGUGUGUGAGCCACCGCACCUGGCCCCUACAUUUUCUUUUUUUUUUUUUUUUAACUUGAGUACAUGCCACAGUGAUCACCUUGAAGGCUGAAAGCUCUUGGCUAUACAUCAGCCUAUGGAAUGUUUAUUAUUGAUGGAGAAUUUUAAUAAUGUAGUAUUCUGGAGAAGUUGUGUGGACCUCCUUCAAGAGAGGCCAAAAUGUAGGAAGGAGAAGAAAACAGGAAAGAUGCGGACUUUACUGUCAUUUAAGAGUUGCUGAAUUAAAUUUUGAUAUAAAUAGCUCUUCAAAGUUGUAGGGAUAGGUAGGAACAAUAUUUUUAUUUUUUAUUUCAUCAGGGCUAUAAAUGAAACUAUACCCUUGUAUAAACUUCAAAGCACAAAGUCUCUAAAAACAUUCAGAAAAGGUGACUUUCAUUGAAAUAGAAUCUAUAGAAAUUAAUGUUUUAAUUGGACUUUGACAAAUUAUAGGCAGCAGUGCCUCACAGGCGUAUUGAUUUUUUAGAUCUUUCUUUUCUUGCAUUAAAAUAACCAUACAUAAAAUGAUUAUAGGAAAAUUAAUAAUGGACUACUUCUAAAUAAAAGGAAAACUUUUAUCUUUGAAAUUUUUCUCAGUUUUCUAAUACCAAGAAUAUUUGCAUUUUGAAUAGAAUCUUAAAACAUAUUGUCAUAAAAAAGCAAUGAAACAUGUAUACUGCACUUACGAGUAUGUGAAACAAGCUAGGAGCAGGGAAAUAAAUCAAUGUUAUUGAUUUUUUUCAGCUAAUUAUUACUGCAUUUAUUUAAAUUCAGAUAAGGGUAUUAUAGAACAUAUC